UACGUAGGGUGCGAGCGUUAUUCGGAAUUAUUGGGCGUAAAGGGCGCGUAGGCGGCCAGUCAAGUGGAAGGUGAAAUCCCUCGGCUUAACCGAGGAACUGCCUUCCAGACUGUUUGGCUUGAGACCAGGAGAGGUGAGUGGAAUUCCCAGUGUAGCGGUGAAAUGCGUAGAUAUUGGGAGGAACACCUGCGGCGAAGGCGGCUACCUGGACAGUGACUGACGCUGAGGCGCGAAAGCUAGGGGAGCAAACGGG
rnacentral:rRNA from 1 species